rfam:Anaerolineae bacterium SG8_19 WOR_8-12_7957, whole genome shotgun sequence.
UUUGGUGAUUUGAGCGACGAGGAUACACCCGGUCCCAUCCCGAACCCGGCAGUUAAGCUCGUCAGCGCCGAUGGUACUUGGGGGGCAGCCCCCUGGGAGAGUAGGUCAUUGCCAAAG